rnacentral:rRNA from 1 species
AUGCAAGCAAGUAAUAAUUCAAGACAAUCAAUUCCCACAUUUAAAAGAAAAAAAAACACAAAGGUACUACGACGUUUUCUAUGCCGAAGCAAUUACAAGAAUUCAAGUAAAUAUAAAUCCCAUUACAGUUGGCCAGUCAUAUCUCAAAAUUCCUGUGAACAGAAAACUCCUAUUGAUGAACACCUAAAAAAGAGAAUUGCUAUUGUACGCUUGCCAUUUGUAUCCUGGAAGCAAGGCUACAGGAUGCUGCAACUCAGGCAAGAUCCAUUCCAUGCUAAGGCAAGGCAACAGUUACAAUCAUCUCUUUAUCGGAAAACCCGUACAAUCAUCAGUUGGCAAAGAAAGGAAACUACGGAGUAG